UUAGCUUGCUAAGGCCGAUGGCGACCGGCGCACGGGUGAGUAACACGUAUCCAACCUGCCGUCUACUCUUGGACAGCCUUCUGAAAGGAAGAUUAAUACAAGAUGGCAUCAUGAGUCCGCAUGUUCACAUGAUUAAAGGUAUUCCGGUAGACGAUGGGGAUGCGUUCCAUUAGAUAGUAGGCGGGGUAACGGCCCACCUAGUCUUCGAUGGAUAGGGGUUCUGAGAGGAAGGUCCCCCACAUUGGAACUGAGACACGGUCCAAACUCCUACGGGAGGCAGCAGUGAGGAAUAUUGGUCAAUGGGCGAGAGCCUGAACCAGCCAAGUAGCGUGAAGGAUGACUGCCCUAUGGGUUGUAAACUUCUUUUAUAAAGGAAUAAAGUCGGGUAUGCAUACCCGUUUGCAUGUACUUUAUGAAUAAGGAUCGGCUAACUCCGUGCCAGCAGCCGCGGUAAUACGGAGGAUCCGAGCGUUAUCCGGAUUUAUUGGGUUUAAAGGGAGCGUAGAUGGAUGUUUAAGUCAGUUGUGAAAGUUUGCGGCUCAACCGUAAAAUUGCAGUUGAUACUGGAUAUCUUGAGUGCAGUUGAGGCAGGCGGAAUUCGUGGUGUAGCGGUGAAAUGCUUAGAUAUCACGAAGAACUCCGAUUGCGAAGGCAGCCUGCUAAGCUGCAACUGACAUUGAGGCUCGAAAGUGUGGGUAUCAAACAGGAUUAGAUACCCUGGUAGUCCACACGGUAAACGAUGAAUACUCGCUGUUUGCGAUAUACAGCAAGCGGCCAAGCGAAAGCGUUAAGUAUUCCACCUGGGGAGUACGCCGGCAACGGUGAAACUCAAAGGAAUUGACGGGGGCCCGCACAAGCGGAGGAACAUGUGGUUUAAUUCGAUGAUACGCGAGGAACCUUACCCGGGCUUAAAUUGCAGAUGAAUUACGGUGAAAGCCGUAAGCCGCAAGGCAUCUGUGAAGGUGCUGCAUGGUUGUCGUCAGCUCGUGCCGUGAGGUGUCGGCUUAAGUGCCAUAACGAGCGCAACCCUUGUUGUCAGUUACUAACAGGUUCCGCUGAGGACUCUGACAAGACUGCCAUCGUAAGAUGUGAGGAAGGUGGGGAUGACGUCAAAUCAGCACGGCCCUUACGUCCGGGGCUACACACGUGUUACAAUGGGGGGUACAGAGGGCCGCUACCACGCGAGUGGAUGCCAAUCCCAAAAACCUCUCUCAGUUCGGACUGGAGUCUGCAACCCGACUCCACGAAGCUGGAUUCGCUAGUAAUCGCGCAUCAGCCACGGCGCGGUGAAUACGUUCCCGGGCCUUGUACACACCGCCCGUCAAGCCAUGGGAGCCGGGGGUACCUGAAGUGCGUAACCGCGAGGAGCGCCCUAGGGUAAAACUGGUGACUGGGGCUAAGUCGUAACAAGGUAGCCGUACCGGAAGGUGCGGCUG
rnacentral:rRNA from 1 species